AACGAACGCUGGCGGCAGGCUUAACACAUGCAAGUCGAACGGUUGUAGCAAUACAGCAGUGGCAGACGGGUGAGUAACACGUGGGAACCUUCCUAGGGGUACGGAACAACUCAGGGAAACUUGAGCUAAUACCGUAUACGUCCGUGAGGAGAAAGAUUUAUCGCCCUUAGACGGGCCCGCGUCGGAUUAGAUAGUUGGUGGGGUAUCGGCCUACCAAGGCGACGAUCCGCAGCUGAUCUUAGAGGAUGAUCAGACACACUGGGACUGAGACCCGGCCCAGCCUCCUACGGGAGGCAGCCGUGGGGAAUCUUGGACAAUGGGCGCAAGCCUGAUCCAGCCAUGCCGCGUGAGUGAAGAAGGUCUUCGGAUUGUAAAGCUCUUUUGCCAGGGACGAUAAUGACGGUACCUGGAGAAUAAGCCCCGGCAAACUUCGUGCCAGCCGCCGCCGUAA
rnacentral:rRNA from 1 species